rnacentral:lncRNA from 1 species
AGAAAAGAUGGGGGUGUGGGGGAACAGAAAAUGACAUUUUUAGAAACAAAACUGAUGUUUCUGCUGGGCAAGAUGCAAGCCACACACUCUGAAGAAAUGCAAACACAGCCCAGCAAGAAAGGAAAGAGCCAUAAAGUGGAAUAAAGCACGAGAGAAAAGAAAAGAGCUGAAUUUAAGCUCCAGAGAGGUUUUCGUUAAACCACCAGGAUGUUACAGGGCGAGGCUUUAACGGUGAAGGCCACACUUGGGCAGGCCCAGGCGCCUCUCAGUGGGGACAGCUGGUGAUGUCCUUCACUGCUGACAACUGGGGUGGGGGAGUGUGUGGACAGAACCAGCAACUGCGCACUUGGCAACUCUCCAUGAAGCUGAGGACCGGCCAAUGGGACAGAGCCUGACAUCACAGAUCCCAGAGGGACAACCUGAGAGGAGGCCUGUGGAGACCAGAGCAUCCAGUCCAAUGGCUAGGCACAGAGGACCCUCUUCCAAAGUCAAGGACAGCUGAGGACUCCGCACAUAUCCCAUAGACGAGUUUCCAGCUAGCAAGAAAGUGAGAAUGGAGUUGCGUGGGCAGAAUAAGGAGAUUAAAUGAACAAAUAAAGCCAGGAACAUUUAAGGUUUUAAGAGGCUGUAAGUCAAUGAGUCUCAACUUCUGGAGAAGGCUUGGGAGACGACCUGGUUUUCCAGGCCCUGAGGGGGCCAGAAGGAACCUGAAUCUGAAGACAACCGUGGUGAUUCCAGAAUGUGCCAGUAGAAAAAGGAGGAAGUUAAUUGACCAAAGGGUGAUGUAUUAUUUACACAUGUCCAAACAAAAGCCUCAUGAAUGUCUCUGGACUCCAGCCACUGGACUGUGGGGGUAGGCCCAGAGAGCCCUACACCACCAGCUGCCAGUACCCUUGAUACCUGGGCUAUCAGGAUUACUGGGAUUUUUCUGGGGUUAACAGAUGCAAAGUAUUGCCUUUGGAAUGGAUAAGCAAUGAGAUCCUGUUAUAUAGCACUGGGAACUAUAUCUCGUCACUUGUGAUGGAGCCUGAUGGAGGAUAAUGUGAGCAAAAGAAUGUAUAUGUGUAUAUGUAUGUGUGUGUGAGAGAGAGAGAGAGAGACUGGGUCACUUUGCUAUACAGUAGAAAAUUGAUAGAACACUGUAUACUAACUAUGUUGGAAAAAAUUAAAAUCAUUAAAAAAAUAAAUAAAGCUAUUACAAAACA